CAUCUGCCUGGCCAAGAGCAACUACAACACGUAUGGUUCCCACUGCCCCGCCUCUUGCUCUGUGGCCUCCCCGGGGGGCUGCGCAGAGGGCUGCGUCUGCCUGGCUAACCUCGUCUCCAGCGGAGCCGACUGCAUCCUGGCCUCGGUUUAUGGCUGCCUUGGCCCGGCAGCACCUACUGCCCGGUGGGAGAUGCCUGAUUUGAGGAGGAGUGCUUUGAGUGCUGCACGUGCCGUGGCCCUGGGGACCUGACAUGCGAGCGCAGCCACAGCACGCCUUCAAGGACCGUUGGUUCCAAGACAGCAAGAACGACUGCCAGCCCCUUCGUGACUGCUCCUGGCUCUGGGGUGGGGAGAGCAGGGCCCAGGAUGCAGCCAGCUCCCCACAUCUGCUAAACCAUGGCAGAAAGCUACCUUGCAGCUAGCAUUUUACGUGUACAGUUUACACCUAAAAUGUAUGACUUGACUUUUACCUGUCCACUGAGGCUUUUCUGGCCUGUUUCGCACAAACUAAUUGUGCACCUUUGGGACAAAGCUUGUAACAGUAUGUGCAAGGAACAGAUUCCGGCUUCAGGAAUGCAAAUGCUGCAGAGACAAGUGCCUGGGCUGAACGUGUGCCCUUAUGCCACUGAGAUUUACUGUACCCAGCACAGAAGAGUGAACUGGCCAUAGACUUUUUGACAGCUUCUGUUGGACACUUGUAUAUGGAUUUAGUCCACGUAUUUGGUAUAUAACACACACUGCGUGUCACUUUUCUUAGACAAAUAUUUUCUUGUUGUAAAAUCUGCUUUAUAUUUUAGUGGGUACAAUGUAGCGGUGGAUUUAUCUCUCACAAAUGAAAGGUCAGAAAGAAGUGAAGGAGGAAGAGGGGAAAGGAGGCACGGACAGAGUUGACUGAGCUUUAUUCCAUCUUUGCUUGCAGCCUGUUGUUGAGGCUUUAACAUCUGCGUUGUCUUGUGUUUCAGAGCCUGCUUUCAGAUGAAAGAAGCCAGAACGCUCUCAACCAAAGUACAAUGUGUGUUGCUCAUGCUCCAUAUGUCAACUUGGAGCAGAAAGUGAAAGCUACCCUUCACCAAUGAAAGCUAGCAGCACAGACAAUGCCCAUGGGUCCCUACUCUGUUCUAAUCAGUCCAAACAUCAAGGUUACACAUAGUCAAUUCAAACCUCUUCAAUAAAGCUCAGAAUCUGCACUGCCCUCAAUUAUCCAUCACCACUCACUCGAAGCAGUCCUGUCUACCUAAGCUCCAAGGCUGCCCCAACCUACACAGCCCGUACUGUCACAUAUGCUAGUCCCACCAAACAUACACCAUACUACCUCCUAGCAGCAGCCAUCCAAGCCGACCACUACUCAACCCCCUGCUCUGUAUCCAACAAAGCCCAACACACUGCCCUCUCCAAGCCUCCACACUAUAUGCAACCAAGCUAAUGCCACCAUAUGCUUCACCCUCUAAAUGAGGCUCCUGAAUGUCCCCAGGCUUCUACCAACUACAGCUCAUGCAAAGGCCAGUCUCCACCCAAAGGACAAAAAGAAAGAAAAGGGAAAAAGAAGCCAGGAUUGGAAUAAAGACAGGAGCAAGGGCUGUACAGUAGAGGCAGGAUAGGAGGCAAGGCUGUGGGAGGACAGUCGAGGCAAGGCUGUGGGAGGACAGUCAAGACAAGGUAGUGAGGCAGGAGAAGGGAAAUCAGGAAAGGGAAGAAGAGGGUUCAUGAGACUGACUGGCACAUAGUGCAUCAAGGGGGGUCUCCAGGCAGGGCUAGGGGACAACAGCCCUGGGGCAGAGACAGUAGAGCAGUAGAUGGGGAGCAAGGAGGAACAGGGAUGA